rnacentral:rRNA from 1 species
ACGGGUGAGUAACACGUGAGUAACCUGCCCUUGACUCUGGGAUAAGCCUGGGAAACUGGGUCUAAUACCGGAUACGACCAUUCCACGCAUGUGGUGGUGGUGGAAAGCUUUUGUGGUUUUGGAUGGACUCGCGGCCUAUCAGCUUGUUGGUGGGGUAAUGGCCUACCAAGGCGACGACGGGUAGCCGGCCUGAGAGGGUGACCGGCCACACUGGGACUGAGACACGGCCCAGACUCCUACGGGAGGCAGCAGUGGGGAAUAUUGCACAAUGGGCGCAAGCCUGAUGCAGCGACGCCGCGUGAGGGAUGACGGCCUUCGGGUUGUAAACCUCUUUCAGUAGGGAAGAAGCGAAAGUGACGGUACCUGCAGAAGAAGCGCCGGCCAACUACGUGCCAGCAGCCGCGGUAAUACGUAGGGCGCAAGCGUUAUCCGGAAUUAUUGGGCGUAAAGAGCUCGUAGGCGGUUUGUCGCGUCUGCUGUGAAAGACCGGGGCUCAACUCCGGUUCUGCAGUGGGUACGGGCAGACUAGAGUGCAGUAGGGGAGACUGGAAUUCCUGGUGUAGCGGUGAAAUGCGCAGA